UUAAUAGCGAUUGGGACAACAGAAAUACCAUGCACAAUAUUCUAUGCAACUAGCAUAAAUUAUGGCAUUUGAAGUGCCACUGAUAGAAAAUGUGGUCUCAAGCAUACGUAAUAGAAGACUAUAUAAAUUAUUCAUAUUCGUUGUUCAAGUUAGAGAUAUAUGUUUCUGCAGGUGACAGGGUAUAUAUAAAUACAAGAUAUUGUAAUGACAGGUUCACUUGAAUUGAUAACUCCUUAAACAAUAAAUAUAUUAUUUAUCAUAAAUAUGAAUUAUAUAUUUUAGGAGAUGUUAAUGCAUUAUUUACAUACACUUCAGUCCACACUGCUGUGGAAUUUGUGUGUAAUGUACCCCAGGUUCCUUUUUCUUUCUGUCCCACUCCAAUACAAUUAGCCCUUCUUGGGACUAUGUGCUCAUGACCGCUGCUGAUUUCAUUGUCGGCCUAUGCAUAUCUGAACUGAGUGACAUCUGCCACUCCUUCCCUAUAUUCCUCUAGCAAAGUCAGACACUCUCCAGAGGAAUAAUCACAGUAGCCACAGUGUAGUUGCUGUAGUUGCUGUGACUAAGAGUGACUGUAAAUGAAUGAGAAAUUACUAUAGAAGUGUUCUCCUAUCCUCUUCUGUCACUCAUUUCUCAACAUAGAAAGAUAUGCAUACAGCUGCUAGGAAGUCCACUAGUGUAUUGUGUAGAUGAAAUUCAGUACUCUAUAAUUUUACAAUAAAUUUGUAAAAAUUGUAAAACACUACCAGGCACACUUGAACAAGCAAGAAUUGAAAAUUACAAAUUCAUGUUUUUAAAAACUUUUUGCAUUUGCAAAUCCCAUUGUUUCACUUUCUAGUAUAGAUUUUUUCUCCAUGUGAAUAAAAUGCUGUAAGUAACUGCAUUACACUUGUGUGCACAUUCACUUACUGAAGAUGUGCAUGUACGUCAAAAUGCAUGCAUAUUCGGUUACUUGCGCACAGGAAUAUUAAGGAUACCAAAGGGUGGCUAAAAAAUCUCAGCCAUUUCCUGGUUCAAGUGGUCUUUAGAGGAAGCAACUCAAAUUCCUGGGAAAACCUGAGAUAGAAAGAGUUGAUUAAAAUUAUUAUUGUAAGACAUUUUUAUUAUUGAUAUAAAGCAAUUAUGAAUCUAACCUAGAGUGUCUCUUUAUAGCUGCGGUUUCCAAAUCCACGCAUAGACACUGUAACAUACAAUAACAAUACAUUGCAAGGCAAUUUUAUUGAAUGGUAUUUCGGAUGUAAAUUGCAAUAAUUGUAUUUUUUUUGUAAUUGUGUGUUUUACUCUUACAGUGAAAGACAAAAUUGGUUUAAUCUCAACAAUCCUACUCUUUAGCAAGCUUUCUUGAAUGAUGCCUAAGCAACAGCAAUAACAAAUCAUUCAAUUAUAAUAUAGAGAGAAAUGUUAAAAAUCUAAAUAUUUUCAAAUUUAUAUAUAUAUAUAUAUAAAUAAUAACAUAUCAGAUAAAUAGACACAGCUGACACAACAGAAAAAAAGAUGCAAAAUAUAUGUAGACAUAUAAAAAGAUACUGUACUAUAGCCAGAGUUUUAAUAGAGAAUAGUAUGGAUAUAUUUUAUAUCUGUUGUAGUCUAAAAAUGAGCUUUAUGUUAAAAAUGGUGGUGGCUCAUGCAUUUUAAUUGAAAAAAGAAAAAGCUUAGAAAUCUGUUUUUUUAAAGAAAAUGUAGUAAAAAUGCAAAACUGUUGGUGAUUAUUGCAUGUUGGCACAGCACAGCUUCGCAUAACACAGCUAUAGAAUUUACCAAAAUGCAAUGCUCGAUGCAAAACUGAUAAAUCUGAUGUUAAUUUUGCUUGCAAAAUAGAAAAUAUCUGAAAUCCACAUUUUGUGGGAAUGUGAGCAACUUCAAAUGAUGAACUGCUGUAAUGUGUCUUUUUCUUUGUGAUGUUAGUUGUAGUAUUCUUGUUGUUCUUAUGCCUCGCAUUUGUUAAUUAUGUAUAUGCACAUUCCUGCCCUUUUCAAUGUGAUUCUCAUAUAUGCACUCCAUGUUCUAAUGUUAUGCCUAUUACUUUUUUAUCUAGCCUAGAUAUUUAUUAAACUCAAAUAAUUAAUACCUCUGCAGGCUAGUGGUAAUGCAUCCCACAUAUCAUAGGAAGGCAUAUGGUCUGAGUCUUUCUUUGCCUUUAGUACAGGCAAAAUGGUCAAUCUCAAAUUAGAAACAACCAUCCCAGUCUAACGGGGUUGUUAGUAAACCAUUAAAUGUAGGGAUAUUUCCUGGCAAAUUUUAGACCAGAAUAGCUAAGCAUCACACUGGUAAAUAGAAGUAUUUUUACAGUUUGGCUAUUUUAGUUUAAAAUUUGUAAUAAAAUACAAUUAAUUGAAUAGUCAUGUGAGGUACACACAUGCAGUGAAAAUGUGCAGUAUUGACUGUUAAAGGGAAAAUUAGUUUAAGGGGAUAGGAACAGUGACCUUCAAACAGUCUCUGCUGUAAAACUGAAAGCAAUUAUUUUCCAUAAAUGCAAAAGAAAAGAUAAUCGUUGGAACUAGUGAAGUGAAUAAUAGUAUGUAUUUACAAUUUCCAGUAAAAUAUGCCAAUUUAGGAAACAAAUGCAAAAUUAUUCAAUAAAUGCCUUCUACCUUAAACCAUAUGUUUUAUUGCCAAUCAGAUAGGCCCAUAUCAUAAUUUCUAACUGCACAUUUAGCCUUUUUUUCUGACACUCCAACUAUUGUGGGGUGAGAUUUACAUUCUUAGCUUCUUGUCUAUUAGAACUGAAGUCUAUAGCAGCAUUAUGAGAGCUGAAGUUUAUACCAUCUAGAAUCCAGUGGUUGACUAUACAUGGUAAAUAAGUUAUUCUGUCUUGCAAGAGGGGUCUUGUAAUAGCAAAAACACCUUAAUAUAGAAUAGCCAUGUUAUGGUGGCAGAAUUGUUUUUUUACUUGCACAUGAUCUGCAAUUAAAUCCUAACGUUCCAUAUUAAAUGGACAGAAAAAUGUACCAGUGUGUUUUACAUAUAUAUAUAAAUAUAUAUAUAUAUAGACACCUCAUUAUUGUCAAAUCUAAAGUUCAACCACUUUCUUUAUCUGUAUGCACAGACAUAUUUCCCCUUUUAGUUAUGUUUUAUUUUGCAAAGCAUAUACUGUCCUCUAGCUAUUUGACAAGUCUAGUUAAUCUAUACAAUGCUCUGCAUGUAUGUAUGCUUCACUGCUAGGUCAUGCAUGUAAAAUCACAAACUAGGGCAAAAUAUGUGUUACAAGCACAGUGUUUGUGGUGGUGCUAUCUAGGAUUUUCAGUUGCUCACAUAGUGUCAUCUAGAAGACGUAUAUUGUUUAUAAGGUAAACUUGACUGAAGUUGUAGAGCUUGUCCAGUCUUUGGGUUCUUGCAACAUGGUAUACGUUUUGAAAACUUCUUGUGUGACUUAGCAUUGUGGCAACAAAUGUUCUUUUACAAAUUGAUCAAUCUCAGUUGUGAUCUUCCAAUUUCAGUUUUGGAGACAAAAAUGUCUUUAAAAACACAAAACCAAAUAAAUCUAAAUAAAGUCAUAAAUCUUUGGAGAACACUUACCUUUUGUUUUGCAGCAUUCUAUAUGUCUUCUAAUCUCAAACUGGUCGAUGUGUUACGUGCCAUAAAAUACACUGUAAACAUGUAAAUAUUCAUUUAAGCUGAUAUUAGCUCUUUCAGACAGACAAACGAGGCUGCAGAACAUUUAUUGCAGCAUAAACGUUUGAAAAUUUCAGCCUGUGUUAUGUAAAUUUGCAAUUCCGUGUAACUCUAUAUUUUAUGAUAAUUGUAUUUAAUAAUGCAUUUUUGUUCUUUCUACUGUACAUUAGGCCAUACAAGAACUUGGGUCAGUAAAUGUAAUCAUCCAGUCUCCACAUUAGACAUGUCUGGUUUUCUAAAUUUUCAAGAAAUCCUCUCCUUCAUUUGUUCAUAUAAGUGGCUCUUGUUGGCUCUCCGGUCAGAUUUAAUUAGAUCUGUUGUAAUCUGCUUAAUUAUGAACAUAAGUGGUCAAACAUUUGUAGAAAAAAAGAAAAACUAUUGUAAAAAUAAAAAAUUUAAAUUAUUUAUUUUUAUUUUGUACCCAACAUACCUUAACCCAUUUUCUUCUGCAGGUUUAUGGUUUCUCGACAGCAAUUUUAAUGCCGCAGUCUUCAAUUUCGUAUAUCAGUGCGUGUGCGUGUCCAUGUGCGUGUUCAUAUAAACACACACACAUAGAUACAUAUAUUUUCACACAAACCUAGUAUGAAAUAGUUGUGUAAAAUGUUACCACUAUUAUACUACCAUAUGAAGAAGUUGCUUAGUAUAAUGUAUUUUUAAAAAAAUACCUGUUUCGACCUGUCAUUCAAUGAAGUACUUCUGUUUUUUUCUGAUGCUUGUUUGAGAAUGUUGGUUAAAUAAUUGCUGCACCAGAACCAUUUUAAAUUUAGAUCCACAACUUUUUUUUAUCAUAAUUGUUCACAAUCUGAAAGGAGCAAAUUUUACUAUUCAUUCACUUUGGGUCAUUUAAUUUUUACACAAGAAAACAAAAUGUUUAAAUGUAAAAUGCCUCCUUUUACUAAAAUUAUUGAAAAAUAGUGUAUUAGUGAACUGCAUGCAGGAAAACGAUAAACAACAUUACAACUGAUCCAAAAGAAUAAAAAUUAAAUUUUUUU
rnacentral:lncRNA from 1 species